rnacentral:rRNA from 1 species
AUUGAACGCUGGCGGCAUGCUUUACACAUGCAAGUCGAACGGCAGCGCGGGCUUCGGCCUGGCGGCGAGGGGCGAACGGGUGAGUAAUGCAUCGGACCGGGCCCAGUAGUGGGGGAUAGAGCGGCGCAAGCCGGAUUAGUGCCGCCUACGCCCUGGGGGUGAAAACGGGGGACAGAGAGGCGUCGCGGUAUUGGAGCGGCUGAUGUCGGAUUAGCUAGUUGGUGGGGUAAAGGCUUACCAGGGCGACGAUCCGUAGCUGGUCUGAGAGGACGACCAGCCACACGGGGACUGAGACACGGCCCAGACUCCUACGGGAGGCAGCAGUGGGGAAUUUUGGACAAUGGGGGCAACCCUGAUCCAGCCAUGCCGCGUGCGGGAAGAAGGCCUUCGGGUUGUAAACCGCUUUUGUUCGGGAAGAAAUCCUCUGGGCUAAUACCCCGGGGGGAUGACGGUACCGGAAGAAUAAGCACCGGCUAACUACGUG